rnacentral:rRNA from 1 species
CUUGGUCAUUUAGAGGAAGUAAAAGUCGUAACAAGGUCUCCGUUGGUGAACCAGCGGAGGGAUCAUUACCGAGUUUACAACUCCCAAACCCCUGUGAACAUACCUAUUUGUUGCCUCGGCGGUGCCUGUUCCGACAGCCCGCCAGAGGACCCCAAACCCUGAUUACAUUUAAGAAGUCUUCUGAGUAAACCGAUUAAAUAAAUCAAAACUUUCAACAACGGAUCUCUUGGUUCUGGCAUCGAUGAAGAACGCAGCGAAAUGCGAUAAGUAAUGUGAAUUGCAGAAUUCAGUGAAUCAUCGAAUCUUUGAACGCACAUUGCGCCCGCUAGUAUUCUGGCGGGCAUGCCUGUCCGAGCGUCAUUUCAACCCUCAAGCCCCCGGGCUUGGUGUUGGGGAUCGGCGAGCCUCCGCGCCCGCCGUCCCCUAAAUCUAGUGGCGGUCUCGCUGUAGCUUCCUCUGCGUAGUAGCACACCUCGCACUGGGAAACAGCGCGGCCACGCCGUUAAACCCCCAACUUCUGAACGUUUGACCUCGGAUCUGGUAGGAAUACCCGCUGAACUUAAGCAUAUCAAUAAGCGGAGGA